AGUAACGCAGCGAAAGCUGUGCUAAUACCGCAUACGAUCUACGGAUGAAAGCAGGGAUCGCAAGACCUUGCGCGAAUGGAGCGGCCGAUGGCAGAUUAGGUAGUUGGUGAGGUAAAGGCUCACCAAGCCUUCGAUCUGUAGCUGGUCUGAGAGGACGACCAGCCACACUGGGACUGAGACACGGCCCAGACUCCUACGGGAGGCAGCAGGC
rnacentral:rRNA from 1 species